rnacentral:rRNA from 1 species
CGGGUGAGUAACACGUGAGCAACCUGGCUCUAGGAGGGGGACAACAGUUGGAAACGACUGCUAAUACCGCAUAACGUAUCGGGAUGGCAUCUUUCUGAUACCAAAGAUUUUAUCGCUUAGAGAUGGGCUCGCGUCUGAUUAGAUAGUUGGCGGGGUAACGGCCCACCAAGUCGACGAUCAGUAGCCGGACUGAGAGGUUGAACGGCCACAUUGGGACUGAGACACGGCCCAG